GCGGGUGUCGUAUAAUGGUUAUUAUGUCAGCUUCCCAAGCUGAAAACGGCGGUUCGAUUCCGCUCACCCGCUCAA
rnacentral:tRNA from 1 species